CCGUAUAUGGAUUUUGAUGAACAUUGGUAUUUUAAGACAUACAUGGAUGCUGGAGAAUAUGGAUUAGGAUUGUUGUCGACGUCGUUGGUGCCAUUGAAUGAUUGUCCGAGGAAUUCGUACUAUAUGGAUGCGGUGUUCGUGGAUGGAGAUGGGAAGCCGUAUGUUCAAGAGAAUAUAAUAUGUGUGUUUGAGAGAUAUGCUGGAGAUAUCAGUUGGCGCCAUACUGAUACCCUUCUUCCAAAUGUAAGUCUAUUUUUCUUUGAGAAAUGUCUUUUUGCUUUAUCUGCUUCACAAUCUUUUACAUUUUCAGUAUCUAAGUUUUUUAUUUGUAUUUCAAUUAACUCAUCCCAUUUCAAAAUGUCAAUUUAGUACCUACACAUUUUAAUGUUUUUUUUUAAAAAAGAUUUAAGUUUUAUAUAAGAGAAGGUUAGAGUAUUAAAAAAGAAAUAUGUAGCUCAAUUGACAUAGUGGUUAAUUAUAUUAUCGAACUUAAGGUUGGAGGAUCAAUUGUUCACCCGAAAUGUUUUAACUACCGUUAUCAUUAUCAUUAUAAUUAUCACAAAACUUAUCUACCAUAUCUACUAAUGUAUGAGAAAGAUAAUCCGAAGUUUGAGUCUGAAAUGUUUUUGAUUUUGAGUUUGAAUUGGUAGGGAAGAGGAGAGGCUAGACAAAAAGUGACACUUGUAGCUCGCAUGGUAUCAACCGUGGGAAACUACGACUACAUUAUUGAUUGGGAGUUUCAAACAGAUGGUUUAAUUCGUGUUGAGGUGAGAUGAACUAUCUAUUCAUUAAUACAUUUUCAAUCUCUUAAUUAAAAUCUAAUCUUUCUAAUUACACAUUAUUCAGCAAUUUAGAGUAACGUGGUGUGUACACUGAUCUCUAAAACUCUAUUGACAAACAAUGAUCUGAUCAGGUUGGGCUAUCAGGGAUGCUAAUGAUAAAAGCGACACCAAACGAGUAUGCAGUAAACAAAGAUAAUGAAGGAUUUGAGCCAUUGGUUUCAGAAAAUGCAAUAGGAGUGGUUCAUGAUCACUACAUAACAUUUUACCUAGACAUGGAUGUGGAUGGUGUGAAUAAUUCAUUUGUAAACAUUGAUCUUGUUAAAGAAGAACAAGUUGAUAACAAAUCACCAAAAUCCACACCAAGGAAAAGCAUAUACAAACCAUAUAAAAAAGUAGCUAAAAUGGAAGAUGAGGCUAAAAUUAUACUAAGCCUUGUUGAUCCCUCAGAAUUUCAUGUGGUGAACCCAUCCAAAUUGUCCAGAUUGGGAAACCCAUCAGGGUAUAAGAUUGUCCCUACAGCCACAGCUGCUAGCUUGCUUGAUUUGGACGAUCCUCCACAAAUUAGAAGUGCUUUCACUAAUAACCAGGUACUUAUUAUCCAUACUGAAACUAUUAACGAUUAGCAUUUUCAUUGGAAACAUAUUUAUAUAUCAAUGUAUUUUAUGGUAGUUUGAAUAAUAAUGAAAAAUCUUGAUAGAUUUGGGUAACUCCGUACAAGAAAAAUGAGCAAUGGGCAGGUGGGUUUUUGACGUACCAGGGCAGGGGAGAUGACACAUUAGCAACCUGGUCUCAAAGGUAUAAUUUUACAAAUAUAUCUAUUUUUCUAUCUUACUGUAAAAAUUUGUAACGGUUUUGAUUUGGUUAAACAUUGAUCAUGAAACAGAAACCGUCCCAUCGAGAAUCGAGACAUAGUCUUGUGGUAUACUUUAGGGUUUCAUCACGUCCCAUGCCAAGAAGAUUUCCCAGUAAUGCCAACUGUGUCCUCUAGCUUUGAUCUAAAGCCCGUUAAUUUCUUCGACAGAAAUCCCAUUCUUCGGGCAGCCCCUGCUUCCGUAGAUGACUUGCCUGUGUGUAAUGCUCGAUCUUCGCUAAACUUUUAGGUUUGACACAUGAGUUCAAAAUGAAAAUACACAUGUUAUAGUUUUUAAGAGUGUCUCAUCGAACUUAGUUUAAUUUAUAGUUUUUGGGGUUGGAGUUUCCAUUGCUUAGUUAUUAUAU
rnacentral:lncRNA from 1 species